rnacentral:RNase_P_RNA from 2 species
CGAGUAAGCCGGGCAGCCGCGGGGGAAAGCCGAAAGGCUUCCCGUGAGGAAAGUCCGGGCUCCGCAGGGCAAGGAUAACGGGUAACGCCCGCCGAAGGCGACUUCAGGACAAGUGCAACAGAGAUAUACCACCGUUUUCGGUGUUACGAAAACGGUAAGGGUGGAAAAGUGAGGUAAGAGCUCACUCAGCGGCUGGAGACAGUCCGCUGCUGUAAACUCUAUCCGGAGCAACACCGUGGAGAGAGCUGUACUUUAAUGUACAGGCCGGCCCGGCCGCUCUCAGGAGGUGGCUUGAGCCCAUUGGCAACGAUGGGCCUAGACAGAUGGCUGUUCAAGACAGAAUCCGGCUUACAGACUUACUCGCAAA